rnacentral:sRNA from 26 species
GGUUUGCGUGAGGGAUUGCAGUGGAAAUCCUUUUUUGAGGUUUUUCUCCGAAAAAAAGAUUGUAACGGAAAGCCCGACCCGAU